CCUACGGGAGGCAGCAGUGAGGAAUAUUGGUCAAUGGGCGCGAGCCUGAACCAGCAAAGUAGCGUGAAGGAUGACUGCCCUACGGUUUGUAACCUUUUUUUAUAAAGGAAUAGAGUGAGGCACGUGUGCCUGUUUGUAUGUACUUUAUGAACAAGGAUCGGCCAACUCCGUGCCAGCAGCCGCGGUAAUACGGAGGAUGCGAGCGUUAUCCGGGUUUAGUGGGUUUAAAGGGAGCGUAGAUGGGUUGUUAAGUCAGUUGUGAAAGUUUGCGGCUCAACCGUAAAAUUGCAAUUGAUACUGGCAGUCUUGAGUACAGGUGAGGUAGGCGGAAUUCGUGGUGUAGCGGUGAAAUGCGUAGAUAUCACGAGGAACUCCGAUUGCGAAGGCAGCUUACUGGACUGCAACUGACGUUGAGGCGCGAAAGUGUGGGUAGCAAACAGGAUUAGAUACCCCUGUAGUC
rnacentral:rRNA from 1 species